rnacentral:rRNA from 1 species
CAGCCGCCGCGGGAAUACGUAGGUGGCAAGCGUUGUCCGGAAUUAUUAGGCGUAAAGGGCUCGCAGGCGGUUUCUUAAGUCUGAUGUGAAAGCCCCCGGCUCAACCGGGGAGGGUCAUUGGAAACUGGGAAACUUGAGUGCAGAAGAGGAGAGUGGAAUUCCACGUGUAGCGGUGAAAUGCGUAGAGAUGUGGAGGAACACCAGCGGCGAAGGCGACUCUCUGGUCUGUAACUGACGCUGAGGAGCGAAAGCGUGGGGAGCGAACAGGAUUAGAUACCCGAGUAGUCCCUGUCUCUUAUAC